rnacentral:rRNA from 1 species
AGAGUUUGAUCCUGGCUCAGGAUGAACGCUAGCGGGAGGCCUAACACAUGCAAGCCGAGCGGUAGAAUUUCUUCGGAAAUUUGAGAGCGGCGAACGGGUGCGGAACACGUGUGCAACCUGCCUUUAUCUGGAGGAUAGCCUUUCGAAAGGAAGAUUAAUACUCCAUAAUAUACAAGAUGGCAUCAUUUAGUAUUGAAAGCUCCGGCGGAUAAAGAUGGGCACGCGCAAGAUUAGAUAGUUGGUGAGGUAACGGCUCACCAAGUCUGCGAUCUUUAGGGGGCCUGAGAUGGUGAUCCCCCACACUGGUACUGAGACACGGACCAGACUCCUACGGGAGGCAGCAGUGAGGAAUAUUGGACAAUGGGUGCAAGCCUGAUCCAGCCAUCCCGCGUGAAGGAUUAAGGACCUAUGGUUUGUAAACUUCUUUUGUACAGGGAUAAACCUAUCUACGUGUAGAUAGCUGAAGGUACUGUACGAAUAAGCACCGGCUAACUCCGUGCCAGCAGCCGCGGUAAUACGGAGGGUGCAAGCGUUAUCCGGAUUUAUUGGGUUUAAAGGGUCCGUAGGCGGAUCUAUAAGUCAGUGGUGAAAGCCGACAGCUUAACUGUCGAACUGCCGUUGAUACUGUAGGUCUUGAGUAAAUUUGAAGUGGCUGGAAUAAGUAGUGUAGCGGUGAAAUGCAUAGAUAUUACUUAGAACACCAAUUGCGUAGGCAGGUCACUAAGAUUUAACUGACGCUGAUGGACGAAAGCGUGGGGAGCGAACAGGAUUAGAUACCCUGGUAGUCCACGCUGUAAACGAUGCUAACUCGUUUUUGGGUCUUCGGAUUCAGAGACCAAGCGAUAGUGAUAGGUUAGCCACCUGGGGAGUACGAACGCAAGUUU